UAAUUUUAACUUCUUUAUUAAUUACCAAUUAGAUUUUAAGAGUUUUAAUUAUAUAAUCUGAAAUUGUAUAAUUUAGUUAUCAUGGUCUCAACCCCAUAUAAAUAAAUGAUUAACAUACAUCCAAAGUUAUAUUUCUUAAGCAUUAAUACUGUAUUAUUUUGGAGUCAACAGGAACUUCUUUGGGAACCAUCAACCUGUUUGAUCUUCUCAUUUCGAUGACUAAAAACUUCUUCUUGUCUUUGCUUCUCUAUAGACCACCUAGCUUGUGAUUUGUUUAAUCAGGGAAAUAGUACUGGACCAGGAUGAAGAGAAACCUGCCAAGCUCUACGGAUUGUUGAUCUCUCCUCGACUGCUACCUACUCAACCCUUGGAUUAUUUGACUCCAGUUGUCCACUUGUAACCCAGAAGAAUUAUAUCUAGGAACAGACCUGUGGAUCUACAUUAUGACCAUGAUAAGUCCUAGACCUAACAUUUUUUAACAAUAUUUUUGUUCAUAUAUUGUACAUUUAAUAGAAACAAAUAAAUAUUCUUAUUCUUG